rnacentral:lncRNA from 1 species
UUAAACAUCUUACUUGUUUUGUAAAAGUGUAAUUAUGCAAUUUCCUUUUCAAAUACACAAGACUAAAAAUACAAAUCUAUCUUGUUCUAUUUAUAACUGAUUUUUUUUAGUUCUGUAUGUAUUCGUUGAACAUAUUUUUUUACUUCCAAUUGUUUUUCCAGAUUUCACUUUUCCUCUUUUUCCAUAACCCGUGAAGAUAGUUUUAAUUUGCUAGUUCAUUUUUUGCUGUAUUUGAAAAUGUAAUUAUUUAAUAUAGAAGGCACAGAAUUCCCUGCAAAAUCUUACAUGUUUAAAAACAUAUAAUUUUUUGUAUCUGAAUUUAGAAUAAAUCAUUUUAAUGCAUCUUAAAUCACGUCACCUAAUCAUAAUAGUUGUGGUAACUAAUCAUUAGUGCAGAGCAUGCAGAUAAAAAAUAUUUGAAUUUUUUUUUCUUGGAAGUACAUGUAGUUAUGAGUAGGUUAAGAGAAUAUCUAAUUUUCCUACUCUUUUUUUCAUCUUUAGCAUUUAAUGUUGAAACACCAUUCACGUCACAUUAAGGACCCACUGAAAAUGUAUUGUUUUAAUGCAUAAUUGACUUACCUAAUUAAACAUACACACAAAUUUAAUUAUUUUUUUCUCUUUAACCUGAUCACGACACAGCUCUUAAUCAUUGUCACUUUCAGUAUAUCAUAGUAGUUAGUAGUAGAUUGCCUUGAUGGCAGUAAUUCUGUAGUAAUUUCUAUUCAAUCAAACCUAAGAGAGCUUUGAUCUUACUGUAAAGGUACAAACAAAUCUCUUAUAUAAUUCCUAGCUUUUUUUUUUGUUUAUGAUUCUGAUCAACUAUAAGACACAAUGUAAAGAAUUGUGGCUUAUAAUUUAUCUGAAAUUUAUUAGCUUAGUUUAGUUUGGGCAGGAGUUACAAACUUAAUAGGAAUUGUCAUUUUACUUACAGUUUAUUUCCUGAUUAGUUGUUAAUUUUUUUCCCCUCAGUUAUCUUUAUUCAGUCUUAUUGGUCAAAACAAAGAAACAAAUAGUCCAUCAACUAAAAUAAGCUGUAAUGAAUUUAGAAGAUGAAUGCAUAUAUUAGAUUUCCAUUUAAAUCACUUCUGUUAUAAAUCAUAUAAAGAACUUUAAACUUGUUUUAUCUAAUACUGAGCACUGUUUUUUUGUCAAGUAUUUUUUUAAGACCACAUAAUUCUUUUUGUCUGCUCAAGGAAAGGAUAGAUAAAUAAUUGGCACACAUUUGUUUCUCACUGAAUUUUACAGUAGUAAAUUAAUGUUAUAAUGUACCACAUGGAGAUGAGUUGGUAAGAAAUCAUCUAGUUCCAGAGCCCAGAGAUUAUAAACAGUAGGUGAAAUAGAUUUAUGACUUACGAAAUAUGUUGUGACAAUAUAUUUAAAUGCAUUUUUAUAUUACUUGCAUAUUCUCACAUUGAUUUGUGCAAUAGUUCAGUUUUAAAAAAAAUCUUCCUAUGCAUCAUGUAUUUUAUUUUUAUUUAUUUUCACAAGUAUUUGACAGUAUGGUAGAAUAAAAGAUGAUUGUAAGAUUAAAAAUGUAAAAAUUGCUUAUGUAUUAUUCUGAAUUGUGUUAGGUUGAAAAAGAUGAUUGUGGUGACUAUUAUUUCUUGUCCACUAUUUGUUUUUUGUUUUUUCACCAAUAAUGUCUUCAUAUUUGAACCUAUUCAAUAAAGACAUGAAGCAU